GUGCCAGCAGCCGCGGUAAUACCAGCCCCGCGAGUGGUUGGGACGUUUACUAGGCCUAAAGCGCCUGUAGCCGGCCCUGUAAGUCCCUCCCUAAAGGCCCGGGCUCAACCCGGGAACCGGGAGGGAUACUGCAGGGCUAGGGGGCGGGAGAGGCGGGGGGUACUCCCGGAGUAGGGGCGAAAUCCGUAGAUCCCGGGAGGACCACCAGUGGUGAAGGCGCCCCGCUAGAACGCGCCCGACGGUGAGAGGCGAAAGCCGGGGCAGCAAAAGGGAUUAGAUACCCCUGUAGUCCCGGCUGUAAACUAUGCGGGCCAGGUGUCGGGCGGGCGUUAGAGCCCGCCCGGUGCCGCAGGGAAGCCGUUAAGCCCGCCGCCUGGGGAGUACGGCCGCAAGGCUGAAACUUAAAGGAAUUGGCGGGGGGGCACACAAGGGGUGGAACCUGCGGCUCAAUUGGAGUCAACACCUGGAAGCUUACCGGGGGAGACCGCAGGAUGACGGCCAGGCUAACGACCUUGCCUGACUCGCGGAGAGGAGGUGCAUGGCCGUCGCCAGUUCGUGUUGUGAAAUGUCCGGUUAAGUCCGGCAACGAGCGAGACCCCCACCCCUAGUUGGUACCCUGGCCUCCGGGCCAGGGCCACACUAGGGGGACUGCCGCCGUAAGGCGGAGGAAGGAGGGGGCCACGGCAGGUCAGCAUGCCCCGAAACCCCCGGGCCGCACGCGGGUUACAAUGGCAGGGACAGCGGGAUCCUGCCCCGAGAGGGGUGGGCAAUCCCUAAACCCUGCCUCAGUUGGGAUCGAGGGCUGCAACUCGCCCUCGUGAACGAGGAAUCCCUAGUAACCGCAGGUCACCAACCUGCGGUGAAUACGUCCCUGCUCCUUGCACACACCGCCCGUC
rnacentral:rRNA from 1 species